CCAACUGCUUGUGUCCUGUUUAUUCCCCACCGAUUCCUAUAUUUGAUUAUUUACUGUAUAUGUUUGUGUGUUUGUGGUGGAGGUAAAUCCUAGGAAAUUUAGAUGAGAAGAAAGCUUUAGCGAGGCGCUUGCCAAGUGCUUGGUGAAUCGCUUCAACCGGAUGCGGUUGUCGAUCUCGCGGAGUCGAGUCGAGUUUAGUCGUGGUACGUUAACUAAUCGCAUGGUAUGGAGGACAAGAGAUGGAUUGAUCAUAAGACGAUGCUGGUAGACGAAACUAAAGUGGAUGAAUCAACCAAAUGCCAGGAUGGGGGUGCUCGUCAAGCGAGUAUCAUUUAACAACACUAACGUAGUGUUAUCCCAGGCAAGCCCCGGUGCAUUUGCCACCUUCCUUGUGUUUACAAAAUUUUAUCACUUAUAUGCUGCAUUAGGUGAUAGGAGUUGAGUGAUUAAACACUUGAUGCAUUACCAUUCUUGAAAGGUUGAUUACCACACCUUGUCACCCGUUUUAUAAAAGCUAGAGAUGCUUAGUCUUGCUGAUAGAUUAAGAAACAUAUUUUUGAUCUAUGACUCAUGUUUUUACAAAAAAA